UACGGGGGGGGGCAAGCGUUGUUCGGAAUUACUGGGCGUAAAGGGCUCGUAGGUGGCCAACUAAGUCAGACGUGAAAUCCCUCGGCUUAACCGGGGAACUGCGUCUGAUACUGGAUGGCUUGAGUUUGGGAGAGGGACGCGGAAUUCCAGGUGUAGCGGUGAAAUGCGUAGAUAUCUGGAGGAACACCAGGUGGCGAAGGCGGCGUCCUAGGCCAUCAGAGCCAUGAG
rnacentral:rRNA from 1 species